AGAGUCGCCCGGAUCACCGCGUUGCGUAAGCACCGAGGAAAGUCCGGACUCCAGAGAGCAAGGUGGUGGGUAACGCCCACCCGGAGCAAUCCGCGGGAUCAGUGCCACAGAAAACAGACCGCUCAUGCAAAUGAGUAAGGGUGAAACGGUGGUGUAAGAGACCACCAGCAUUUACGGCAACGUAUAUGGCUAGGUAAACCCCACUUGGAGCAAGACCAGACAGAUAGCGUUUGAGAACUGCUCG
rnacentral:RNase_P_RNA from 1 species